rnacentral:lncRNA from 1 species
UGACCCAAUGGUUUGAAGAGGCGAGGGGCAUCCCGAGCGGAGCAACGUGGAGACGAGUCAUGUGCUUUGGACGGCAUGGCCGGGGCAUGCAUACCGGAUGGGACGAAGUUGGAGCUGAGAGAGGUUCCCCUGUUUGGCAAGUGCUGGGAAAGGACAGGUGGGGGAUACUGCGCGCAGCGGGCGUCCAGGUGUUGUGGGAGGCUCGCAACAAGAUGCGCUUCGAUGGGACAGAGGCCCGUGUAUCAGCCAUGGUAGCAAACUGGUGGAGGAUGACUCUGGCGGCAGUGAGAGUAAAG